rnacentral:tRNA from 1 species
GCCGAAGUAGCUCAGUCGGUAGAGCAACUGAUUCGUAAUCAGUAGGUCAGCGGUUCGAUUCCGCUCUUCGGCA